rnacentral:RNase_P_RNA from 2 species
GGAGUCGGCCGGGCGACGGCCUCGCUUAAUUGCGGGGAGGAAAGUCCGGGCUCCAAAGGGCAGGGCGCCAGGUAACACCUGGGCGGAGCGAUCCGACGGAAAGUGCAACAGAAACAUACCGCCUCGACUUGGUCGGGGUAAGGGUGAAAUGGUGGGGUAAGAGCCCACCUCGGUCCGUCGUAAGGCGGCCGGGUGCAAACCCCGCCCGGAGCAAGGCCUAAUAGGAGGGGGAUGAUGCUGCCCGCGGACCCCUCGGGUUGGCCGCACCAGCUCGCCGGCGACAGCGAGCGCAGACAGAUCGUCGCACAAAGACAGAACCCGGCUUAUAGGCCGACUCCCAGA